rnacentral:rRNA from 1 species
AUGGGCUUCCUCGACUUCCCCUUCACCGCGGCGCGCGGCUCCGUCGUCGACGCGCGCAGGUUCCCCGGCCACGAGGAGGUGCUCCGGUACCUCGAGGACUUCGCGCAGCGGUUCGACCUUUACGGGCUCGUCCGGUUCCAGACAGAGGUCGUCGGAGUCCGGCGGGAGUCCGGCGGGAGGUGGGCGGUGACGUCGAGGAAGCUCGGGGAGAAGGGGGAGCACGACGAGGAGCUGUAUGAUGCCGUCGUGGUUUGUAAUGGGCAUUAUUCAGAGCCUCGCGUCGCCUCCAUACCUGGUGCAGAUGCCUGGCCUGGAAAGCAGAUGCAUAGCCACAAUUACCGUGUGCCUGAGCCAUUCCUUGAUCAAGUAGUGAUCGUUAUCGGGGCCUCGGCAAGUGCAGUUGACAUUUCGAGGGACAUUGCAAGCGUUGCGAAGGAGGUCCAUAUUGCCGAUAGAUCACCGACUUCCACUUGUGAACAGCAGCCUGAAUACGACAACAUGUGGCUUCAUUCCAUGAUUGACCAUGCACAGGGAGAUGGCACUGUGGUGUUCCAGGAUGGCAGCUCAAUCAAAGCGGAUGUCAUCAUGCACUGUACUGGCUACCUGUAUGACUUCCCGUUUCUUGGGGAUGAUAGCACCAUCGCUGUGGAUGACAACUGCGUUGAUCCAUUAUACAAGCAUGUUUUCCCUAUAGAAGUGGCUCCUGAUCUGUCUUUCAUCGGAUUGCCGUGGAAGGUUAUCCCUUUUCCACUGUUUGAACUCCAAAGCAAAUGGGUCGCUGGUAUUCUAUCAGGAAGGAUCAAGCUUCCAUCGAAAGAUGAAAUGAUGGAAGAUGUCAAAGCCAUCUACUCGAGACGGGAAACACGUCGAUGGCCCAAGAGAUAUACCCACAACUUCAGUGGUGGUUAUCAGUUCGAAUACGAUGAUUGGCUCGCGGAGCAAUGUGGCCAUCCACCGAUUGAAGAAUGGAGGAAGCUGAUGUAUGCUGCUAAUGCGAAGAAUAAGGCUGCUCGUCCGGAAAGAUACCGCGAUGAGUGGGAUGAUGAUUAUCUGGUGGCACUAGCAAAUGAGGACUUCAAAAAAUACUUGUAA